CCUCCAUGUUCCGCGCUUCUUUGUGUUUGCGUGUAUAUAUGGCGUGCACGCGUGCAUGCGUUCGUGCUUACCGCAAUGAAAUCGAUACGAGUUCUUUCGACGACUUCCUUCGAAAUGCAACCUAGGGAAAAAGGGCGGCUCUCCAUCCCCAAGGGUGGUUGCUACUCACAUCACCAUAAAAAUGACGCUCGUUUGCGAGAUCGAUCACGUACUUAUGUACGUAAUCACGUGACAAUCGUCUGCACUGUUUUUAGGUCGCAGAGAAGCUAAUCGUCUUAACGGCAACGGCGGUUAGUAAAUAGCCGGAGAUAUUGACCGCCCUGCACGUACACGCGGAGCGAACCGAUAAGCAUGUCGUAAAGCAGUUAACGAGGAACGCCAUAGGCCGACCACCGAUCCAUCGCUAAUUACGGAUGCACCCAGUGUCACGAUUACAACACGCGGAGAUGUUCGGCUGGCGCGAAACGAUCCGACAUCCGACAAUAGUUGCGAAACAGGCAACGGGCAACAGGAUGCACGAGAGGGUGCGCUUGACGCGAUAAUAAAUAUCACGAAAUAUCAUGGAUGCGUACAGCAGCCACCAAAUACUCGCGAGACCCGGAUAUGGGGCAAAACGGAAGUGCAGUCGUAAACUACAUAUAUAAAGCCUACAGAGAGCAGGUCGUAUCGUUGACGUGUGAUGGGCUCGAAGAGAAUGCAUCGAACUUGAUGCACCAAGUCAACGA